rnacentral:rRNA from 1 species
AGAUUGCCUGUCGCAUGACGGGUGUUGGAAAGAUUUUUCGGUCAUGGAUGGACUCGCGGCCUAUCAGCUUGUUGGUGAGGUAAUGGCUCACCAAGGCGACGACGGGUAGCCGGCCUGAGAGGGUGACCGGCCACACUGGGACUGAGACMCGGCCCAGACUCCUACGGGAGGCAGCAGUGGGGAAUAUUGCACAAUGGGCGGAAGCCUGAUGCAGCGACGCCGCGUGAGGGAUGACGGCCUUCGGGUUGUAAACCUCUUUCAGUAGGGAAGAAGCGAGAGUGACGGUACCUGCAGAAGAAGCACCGGCUAACUACGUGCCAGCAGCCGCGGUAAUACGUAGGGUGCGAGCGUUAUCCGGAAUUAUUGGGCGUAAAGAGCUCGUAGGCGGUUUGUCGCGUCUGUCGUGAAAGUCCGGGGCUUAACCCCGGAUCUGCGGUGGGUACGGGCAGACUAGAGUGCAGUAGGGGAGACUGGAAUUCCUGGUGUAGCGGUGGAAUGCGCAGAUAUCAGGAGGAACACCGAUGGCGAAGGCAGGUCUCUGGGCUGUAACUGACGCUGAGGAGCGAAAGCAUGGGGAGCGAACAGGAUUAGAUACCCUGGUAGUCCAUGCCGUAAACGUUGGGCACUAGGUGUGGGGACCAUUCCACGGUUUCCGCGCCGCAGCUAACGCAUUAAGUGCCCCGCCUGGGGAGUACGGCCGCAAGGCUAAAACUCAAAGGAAUUGACGGGGGCCCGCACAAGCGGCGGAGCAUGCGGAUUAAUUCGAUGCAACGCGAAGAACCUUACCAAGGCUUGACAUGUUUUCGAUCGCCGUGGAGACACGGUUUCCCCUUUGGGGCGGAUUCACAGGUGGUGCAUGGUUGUCGUCAGCUCGUGUCGUGAGAUGUUGGGUUAAGUCCCGCAACGAGCGCAACCCUCGUUCCAUGUUGCCAGCACGUUGUGGUGGGGACUCAUGGGAGACUGCCGGGGUCAACUCGGAGGAAGGUGAGGACGACGUCAAAUCAUCAUGCCCCUUAUGUCUUGGGCUUCACGCAUGCUACAAUGGCCGGUACAAUGGGUUGCGAUACUGUGA